GUUGGAGUUGACUUCCGUGCAUCGUGCUUUUGCCAUAAAAACACGAUUGACAUGGGUUUCAUAUGCUCUGUUUGUUUAUCAAUAUUCUGCAAGCAUCACAAGAAAUGCUCAACUUGCGGAUCAAAUUUUGGGGAGGCAUGAAAGCAGGAUCCCUCAGCCUCGGAUCAGAGGAGGACUUCAUAUGGUAGUUGAAUAGAUAAUCCUAAAGCCUAUUUAACACCUCAGGCCAUUGCCACUACUGUGUUUCAAUAGAUUUCUUAUGAUAUGAACUUCCAGAUGGUUAUAUUAAAGACGAGUCACCAAACUGGACU
rnacentral:misc_RNA from 1 species